GCUCCUGUAGUUCAAUGGAUAGAACGGGAAGCUUCUACCUUCCUAAUGCGGGUUCGAUUCCUGCCGGGAGCA
rnacentral:tRNA from 1 species